GACGAACGCUGGCGGCGUGCCUAAUACAUGCAAGUAGAACGCACAGUUUAUACCGUAGCUUGCUACACCAUAGACUGUGAGUUGCGAACGGGUGAGUAACGCGUAGGUAACCUGCCUGGUAGCGGGGGAUAACUAUUGGAAACGAUAGCUAAUACCGCAUAAUAUUGAUUAUUGCAUGAUAAUUGAUUGAAAGAUGCUAUUGCAUCACUACCAGAUGGACCUGCGUUGUAUUAGCUAGUAGGUGAGGUAACGGCUCACCUAGGCGACGAUACAUAGCCGACCUGAGAGGGUGAUCGGCCACACUGGGACUGAGACACGGCCCAGACUCCUACGGGAGGCAGCAGUAGGGAAUCUUCGGCAAUGGACGAAAGUCUGACCGAGCAACGCCGCGUGAGUGAAGAAGGUUUUCGGAUCGUAAAGCUCUGUUGUAAGAGAAGAACGGGUGUGAGAGUGGAAAGUUCACACUGUGACGGUACCUUACCAGAAAGGGACGGCUAACUACGUG
rnacentral:rRNA from 1 species